UAAUUAUGUGAUUACCAUGAAAUAUGAGAAUUAAGUGAAUUUAAAACUAAGAGACAGAAGUAACGCUAUUCAGUAUGUCUCUCAAAAACAAGUAUUACUGUCUUAUAUCACUAUUCAAAGA
rnacentral:lncRNA from 1 species